AUUUCAUUUCUUCUGGACAAAGACUCAAACAAUUUCAUUUCUUCUGGAUGACAACUUGCUGCCUCCGGCAAGUUCAUUUCUUCCGGAUGAUGACGGUCAACAGAGAUCUGCUGGAGCUGCAAGUUGGAUGUCGCAGAGGCAAUGUUCACACUAUCUAAUUCACCACCUCUUGUUUGCAGGUUUCAGCUGAAAUUAACUUAAUUUUCCUUCCAGAGAUGAUCCACUGGGACCUGUCUUUAAGUGUUUUUAACCCAGUUUUUCUCCUAGACUAAGCUGCCUGCUGACCCAUUUGUUGCACCUAACAUUUUCUUUCUCCCUUCAGCCUUUAAAAUCAUAAUCAUCCACCAAAGGAGCUUGUACUUCAACUAACUCUAUUAUUUCCUAUAGAAAAACUCCUGGAGCAGCUCUUUUUCUUUCUCUGCUCUGUCCUUUCAAAUUCCCCCGGGGGUAGUGACAGGUGACCUUUCAUAAUGAACCAACCUAUGGUUCUGCUGGAGGUUUCUUCCUGUUAAAGGGAAGUUUUCCUCUCCACUGUCACUGCAUGGAUCCUUGGUAUGAUGCAUACCAACUUCUUUUUUGGAAGUUCUUCCUGUUAAAGGGAAGUUUUUCCUCUCUACUGUCAACACAUGCAUCCUCUAUAUGAGGCAUUGCUUUAGUUUUUAUCUAACUCUUAACCACUAUUUGAUAAAUGCAGUUUUUUUUUUUCUUGGCAAGUCUUCCUGUUAAAGGGAAGUUUUUUCUCUCUACUGUCCACACAUGCAUCCUCUAUAUGAGGCAUUGCUUUAGUUUUUAUCUAACUCUUAACCACUAUUUGAUAAAUGCCGUUUUUUUUUUCUUGGGAAGUUUUUCAUCUCCACCAUCACCACAUACAUCCUUAGUAUCGUGGUGGAGAAUGGUUUUGAGCUCACGGUUGAGAAUUUAAGGUCUUAUCAACACCACAUGGCGUACGGAUGAAGAAGAUGUAGAAGACUAUCAACGGUUUUUGUUGAUAUGGAGACUGAAGACACCAGAUUGCUUCAGACUGGUAGGUGGUAUGGAUAUCAAGAUGGUCGCUUUGGCGCAGGGCUCUAAACUCACCAGCAGGAAAUGUGGUAUGCUACUUGCUGUAGCCACUGCUCAAGGCUCUGAAGUCAUCGGAUGAGUUCAAGGAAAUUGGUAGCGAUGGAGUACAACGAAGCGGUGAAUCCAUUCCAGGUAAAAUCCUUGUUACAGGAAAAACACGCUAGGCUAUGUGAAAGGUAGGAGUUUGGCUCUUUGGUACAGCCGCCAGAACUGAUCUUGUAUUCCGAACAGCAGGCUAAAGGUGUGUGGAAAAUGGGCCCGAGCGGUGGGCAAAGGUGUGUUGGGGAAAAUGGGCCCGAGCGGCGGGCAAAGGUGUGUUUGUGUGGGAAAUGGGCCUGAAUGGCGGGCAAAGGUGUGUGGGGGAAAAUGGGCCCGAGCAGCGGGCAAAGGUGUUUACGGGAUCCAAUUUAAAGGUCACUAAGAAUUUAGCAAUGACAAAAAACAAGACCAAUGAUCCAUAGGGAAAAAGCCAUUCAGACACCCUGACCAAACUCUCCCCGACUGCACCCGACCAGAGACAGAAAAGGGUUAGACCUGGUACCUGCACUUGUCAUGUUGUCCUUCAGGAAUCCUCCAGGAUCAUCUGGUUUUGGUGUCUGAUUUCACUCCAUCGCCCUCCCUGGCUCAACGGAAUCAGCAGUCUUCCUCAAGAAAUUCUGCAGAAUCCUCCUGGAUCAUCUUGUUUUUGUCCCCGAUAUCGCCCUUCAUCGCCGGCCCCCAUUGACCAAUGGAAAAAGGCCUUCAUCGCCCACCCCUGCUGAUGGAUGACCCUACCAUCGGAAUCAGCAGUCUUCCCCAAAAAAUGCUGCAGUCAUUGUCCAACCAUGGACCAGCGAAAAAGACCUUUAUGGCCCCCCGCACCAACGGAUGGAAAAGACCUUCAUCGGCCCCGCCCACUGACUGAUGACCUUGGUGACCCUACCACCGGACUUGGCAGGUUUUCUUCCAGGUGAGCAGGAAUACUCCUGGAUCAUCUCGUUUUCUUCUCUGAUUUCGCCCUUCAUCGCCACCGCUGCCAUUAAUGGAACAGGCCUUCAUCUCAUCGCAUCUGCAUCAUUCUUUUUUUUUUUUUUUUUUUUUUUUUGGACAAUUUUGUUUAGAGACUUUUUGAUUAAUUUUUUAUGGUGACUGUUAACUUUUUGUCUUCUCAGUUAUUCUCUGUAUAGAAGCUUCACUUGAUUCUGACUGGCUUUGGUUCCUUCCUGGAGGAGGGCAUUGGCUGACAUGAUGCUGCCAUCACCUAACCGUUCCCACUCUCCUGCUGUUAACUUUUCACUUCCAUGAACAUCGAAAGUUCUCCCGAUCAGUUGACCUUUUGCUGUGUCUCUGCUCUGUCUUUUCUCAGCUCCAGUCGGUUGUCGGCUGCUAGUACUGAGCCCGGUUCUAGUUCUGCUGGAGGUUUCUUCCUGUUGGAGGGGAGUUCUUCCUCGCCACUGUCGCUACAUGCAUUCGUGGUAUGAGUGAGUGCUGUAGAGUCAACGACUCAACUCAAGUGAUUUGCUGUCGCCUCCUACUGGUCCAGGAGGAGUGAAUGCUGUGAGUAAUGACUCCAUGCAAUCUGUUGAGUUUCCUUGUGGUACAAACCUUUUAAACUACUUUAAUAAUUAGCUGAGCUUAUUGUACUGGUAACUAAUACCAAUUGGAAUAUGUGAUUGGACUAAAAUUAUUCUGAAGUGCAUUGAGAUGACAUCUGUUGUGAAUUGGCGCUAUAUAAAAUCGAACACUUAAACCAACAAAUAUGCCCCACCAACAACCAAUAUAAAAAAACACAAAAACCACUAUAAAAACUGUUCAAAAACCAAUACAAAACCCUAAUUAACUAAACAAAAACCUCAAAAACCCUCAAAGAAAUACAAAAAUCCCCAAAUAAAAACAGUUGAAAACCCCAAACCAACAACUAAACCUCCAAUUAAACAGUAAAAUGUUAAUUCACAACAGUGUUGUCAAGGCAUUUUACAAAGCCAUUUCAAUUCAGUCAUAGAUUACAGUUGAUCCUACUUAUUAAUGUAUUAGGUUCAGUUAAUCAUUAAAGUAGUUUAAAAAGUUUGUACCACAAGGAAAUUCAACAGAUUGCAUGGAGUCAUUACUCGCAGCAUUCACUCCUCCUGGACCAGUAGGAGGCGACAGCAAAUCACUUGAGUUGAGUCGUUGACUCUACAGCAAUCACUCAUACCACGAAUGCAUGUAGCGACAGUGGGGAGGAAGAACUCCCCUCCAGCAGGAAGAAACCUCCAGCAGAACUAGAACCGGGCUCAGUACUAGCAGCCGACAACCGACUGGAGCUGAGACAAGACAGAGCAGAGACACAGCAAUAGGUCAACUGAUCGGGAGAACUUUCGAUGUUCAUGGAAGUGAAACGUUAACAGCAGGAGAGUGGGAACGGUUCGGUGAUGGCAGCAUCAUGUUAACAACCCAUGCAAGGGCAGGAACCACAGCCAAGGGGAUUUGUGUAAGCUAAAAGGUAUACUGUUUUAUCUAUUUAUGCAUUUAACUUUUGUUUUUUGGUUAGUUGUUGUAGAUAUAAAGGCCUUAAUGCCAGUAUUGUCUAUUUUUUUCUUUCCAUUGUAUUAUUAUGAUAUUUGUCCUUGUUAAAAAUCCUUUGUGAUGUUUGUUUAAAAUAAAGUAGAAAAAGGCCUGUAAGGAAACAGAACCAAGUUGAUUGAAGGGAUCCAUUUUAAUACCGUCAGAACAUUGAUGAACAAACACCAAAGUGCCACCUUCAGGCCUCUCUCCAGAUCAACUAAAUAAAUCUUUCUGGUUUUAUUUUUCCCCUCCGUGGGCUGUCACCUUAUCGUGGUGGAGGGGUUUGAGUGUCCCAGAGAUCCUAGGAGCUGUCAGACUUCAUGGCUCUGAUUGGGUCGGGUCUGCAGGGCAAACAGCUCCUAGGUGAGGGAUUGGACCAAGAGCAGCCCAAAGACAGCUUAGAACUAUAGACAGAAGUCGGGGUUUCCCCCCCACCUGGCUAUGGGUUGUUGGUUAUUUUAAAUGGUGAUUCUUCCACACUGGUGACAGUGAAGGCAGGCUUGGCUAAAGGUUUAUAUUUGAGGCAUUGAACUGGCUGUGAGGGUUAUGAACUAAUUGUGCUGUCCUUCAGUUGCCCUUUAGUUUCACAUGCUGUAAUUUCUGAAUUAUGCCUGCUUGUGCAUCUCUGACUUUAUGCAACAUAAUUUUUAACCCAAAAACACAGCAAGCUGCUGAUGGAUGACCCAGCAUCCAUUUUGACUUGAACUUAACAGUCUUCCUUAAGGAAUGCUACAGGUAUUUUGCUAGUAAGUGACAUUUACAAGUGAAUUUUUGAAAAGUGCCGAUUUUAUUCUCGGUAGUUAAAGGGUUUGACCUGAAAUCUGCGUCUGUCCUGUUGUCUUUCUGUUCUUCUGGAAUCCUCCUGGAUCAUCUUGUUUUUGUCUGAUUUCUCCCUUCAUCACUCCCUGCUGAUUGACAAGCCUACCUUCAGGCUCGGCAGUCUUCCUUAAAAAAUACUUCAGGUAUUUUGCUGUUUAAGCAGCUUCUUUCUUCAUGCCCAGUUGGGUUUUUCUUUUCAUCAACAAAAUGUCUGAAAAUAAUUAACGAGUUUCUGUUUGUUUUUAUUUUGUUCUGUUGGUGGGAGAGUUUCAUGUGUCCUGCAGCAGCUUGAGGCAAUCAGACUCCGGUACAAUCAGUAAUGAGGCAAACGGAUCGCUGGCUCAUUGUUGCUACUCACUCAUUGGAGGCGCUGCUGCUGGAUGAGAUUUGAGAUUCAACGGCCUAAAAAUGUCCUCACCUGAUAAGUUUGAGUCACUGCAUCAAACUGAUCUUCCCAGAAGGAGAAGCUUACUGCAUCUCCCCUCAGAGUUGUCUCAUCAGGGACUUAACUCUGCUGUCCUUCAGAGAAGCUGCUUUCAGACCCAGAUGGACCGCAAAACUACAUCUGAAUUCAUCCUGGUUCCAAUCAUGACCAUUUUGAUUCUUUACAGGGAUGUUCUCAGAAUCUGUCUGAAAUAAAAAUGAAUAAAACAGGAAAUCCUAUAAGGAGAUUUGACAUGAUUUAUUUGAGAUGAAAGAAACGUUAAACAUUGGGUUGUCUCCGAUGUUUAAUGUUGUCUGGUAUCUUUAACAUUGUCCCCCAUUUUUUAUUUUAUCUUUGAUGCUUAACGUUGUCCUUAAUGUUUAAGGUUGUUUAUUGGAUUAGGCAUGUUUUAACAUUAUCGCCAAUGUUUAACGUAACAGGAAACUUUUCUGAAGAUAAAAUUUGGUAUUGGGGCAACGUUAAACAUCGCAGAUACGAUAAACAUUGGCUUUAAUGUUAAAGGAUAACGGUAAGCAUUGGAGAUUAAAUUUUUUAACAAUCAGGGAGUCAUCUGUUUUUUAUAUGGAAAACAAUGUAAAAUUGAGGGGGGGUUUUUUGUUAAGGAACACCGACACUGUUGUGCAGGCUUCCUCACUGCUUUAUUCGUGGAAAUGCUGCAUUUCCAUGAUUUUGUUUAAACUAGCCUGUAUAAACCAAUAAAAAACAUUGAGCCAAAAA